rnacentral:miRNA from 1 species
AAGGGGCGGGGACGGGCGGCCCCAGGAGAGGGGCCUGGUGGAGCCGCUCUUCUCCCUGCCCACAG